UUAAAUAAACAAAACAGUGACUGAUGGAAGGCGAGAUUUUAAAUCAAAUAUUGAAGAAUUAUGGUUAAAGUGAAGAGACCAAAACAUACAUAAGCUAACACUUUUUUAGGAACUCUGAAAUUAAGCAGCACUUGGCCAGAAUGAUCACUGAUCACACAACGGAACGGUUUUCGGAUUGUUUGCCUUUGACAAACAGAAAGGCAAAAGGGAGAACAGAAACAAAUCCCAAAUAAAUCAACACAUGCCACAAAUGUAUAAAAGAUGUGAAGGCACCUCGACUGCGGCUGCAGGCCUCAUAAUCAUAUUGAUGUAUUACAAUAGUUUGUGGAAAUACCAACUCAACUCGGCUCUUUCAGUUGUAAAAAGCGCUCGUAAAAUCUACAAAAACAUGGCUGAGAAUGCGCCCAACAGAUACAAAGGCCAAAUGAGCUGGGGAAUAAAGAAAGCCCGACCCAGAAUGUCUUGGCCGACAGAUAAAUAAUGGAAAUGCAUACUAAUUGAAUGAGAUCUCAGAUUGCAUCUCCUCUUGUUUAUGUAUCAUCAUCUGAGCGGGUUCCAGCGCUAUCAGCAUUUCAACAAGAUGUUAAUUAUGAUGGAGAUGAGUGUGUCGGCCGAGUCUAAUUGCCAUUUCUUCUUUAAUUGAUUUCAAUGAGUCGAUAAUUACCGGAGUAAAGCGCCGUUCACAUCAGCAAAAGGAAACAACGACGAAACCGAUAUUAAUGAAAUGAUUUCUCAUAAUUAAUGAAAUUUAAUGCAGACCCAGAAAUCAACGUUCAGCUCUCAGCGCUGAACAGAAGUUCCCACAUCAUUAAUAAAAAGUAAAGCCCAAACCAAGAGACACACACGAUGUGGCCCCUUGGCGCUAUCAAAAGCUGAAAUUCAAACGAACUCGAGCAGCAGAUACAGAGUUACAAAUGUAUCUACAAGUCCUUCUUAUCGCUGGCUUGUUCUUUUUGGGUUGCCUUGGUGUUUGCUUUGCUUUUUGCUCUUUGGUGAAAAUAAAUUAUAAACAGUUCGGAAAUAAAGUCAAACGUUUUGUCCGCUGUCCA